GAUGAACGCUGGCGGCGUGCCUAAUACAUGCAAGUCGAGCGAACGGACGAGAAGCUUGCUUCUCUGAUGUUAGCGGCGGACGGGUGAGUAACACGUGGAUAACCUACCUAUAAGACUGGGAUAACUUCGGGAAACCGGAGCUAAUACCGGAUAAUAUUUUGAACCGCAUGGUUAAAAAGUGAAAGACGGUCUUGCUGUCACUUAUAGAUGGAUCCGCGCUGCAUUAGCUAGUUGGUAAGGUAACGGCUUACCAAGGCAACGAUGCAUAGCCGACCUGAGAGGGUGAUCGGCCACACUGGAACUGAGACACGGUCCAGACUCCUACGGGAGGCAGCAGUAGGGAAUCGUCCGCAAUGGGCGAAAGCCUGACGGAGCAACGCCGCGUGAGUGAUGAAGGUCUUCGGAUCGUAAAACUCUGUUAUUAGGGAAGAACAUAUGUGUAAGUAACUGUGCACAUCUUGACGGUACCUAAUCAGAAAGCCACGGCUAACUACGUG
rnacentral:rRNA from 1 species